CAAGCUGCUCAGGACCUUCUCCAUCCUCCCCGUUGCUCACAAUUCUGUAAGUCUCGCUGGCCCCUCUUGUGUUUUUAUGUAAAUUAUGUGUGAGGAUUGGUUGUCAAAUAAAUACGGUUAACCAAAUAUGAAAAGGAUGGAUCUUUCUGCUGCUCUGGUGGUGGUUGGAAGAAAGCUAAAGCUAAUUAAACUUGUUCAUAUAUAUAGAGGUUACGGGUACACUAAUGUCAACUUUGUAUAAGAUUUGGCAGUCUAUAUUUGAGUUGACUCUUGAGGAUCCGCCUAGAAUGAAAUCAUCAGAUAUGUAUAAAUGCACGAAAUUAUUUUAAAACAUUUAUGGGAGGAAGAAGACAGAAAUGCUGGAAUGAGCCUACACGUACAAUGACGCCGUAUUGGCGGCUUAGUUUAUUGCAACUAUGCUUUGCUUGUGGCUUACGUCUUACGUCAUACAGACAUCGUUGGACCAAGUUUCCUGGAGGUGUCCUAUAUAACUUUUUCUGGUCGCUGCUUGUAACGGUAAUAUUUCAUCGCUAUGGUUUAUCUGCUGGUCGUUCUGAAGUUUCCUCUUUGGUAUUUGUUUUGUUUGGCUAGUGUGAACCUAUUUUCUCAAAUGUAAGUAGGUAAUUGAACGGUUUUGCCUCUUCGUUUGGUUUGAGUGAAGCAGUAGUAUUUGUUAUGUCUUGAUUCAGGGGGGUUUGAUGGUCGAUCUUCAAGGCGGUGGAAAAUAUCUGCAAAUCCGAUCAAACAUCGGAUGGACAUAGACUAGUCGACGAGUUUUAUGUGUUGUGAGGAGGAUAUAUAUACUAAGGAGAAUAUGGUAAGGGGUAGUGUGAUUGACUUCAACGGUGGCCGAUGAGAGGCUUGUCCAGUGUAGCUUGCCUUAAGGGGUUUCUCAGUAGAGGAGUUAAUCUUGACAGGUAUGGACGACCACCUUAGAAGAUUGAUGUGGCCUGGCUGGAACGCAUUGGAUACUACUCUCGAGCUGGAAUACUCGAGACCCUUAGGAAAUCUGUCUGGUGAGACUAAUAUACGUUCACGCUAUGAAUAGUGUCACUCGUGGCCUUUUAUAGGGUCUUGGGAUUGAUGUUGUGAUAAUGUUGACUGUUGUGAAUCAACGAUAGAGAUGUGUCUCGGAAACUAGAGGUGGAAAAUGAGGCGGAAAUGAGAUUCCAUUCCCGAUUUCCUGAAAUUCCGAAAUCCAAUUUAGAUGCUUCGUUCCCGUACUCAAAUUUAGUUCGGGAUGUAAAAUUUAAAUUAGGAACUUGGUUGCCCCGAAUUAGAAUCUUUUUUCCGAAUAAGCCACGAACACUCAUAUGCAAUACUGCAACCGCUUGAGUGGGCUAAUGUGUUUGUGACUUUGCUUCAAGCACCACUUAAUAUUCCC
rnacentral:lncRNA from 1 species